GCCGGGGUGCCCGAGCGGACUAAGGGGGUAGGCUCGAGACCUACUGCCCCUCUGGGGCACGCGGGUUCGAAUCCCGCCCCCGGCG
rnacentral:tRNA from 2 species